rnacentral:rRNA from 1 species
UGGGGAAUUUUCCGCAAUGGGGGCAACCCUGACGGAGCAACGCCGCGUGCGGGAGGAAGGCCUUUGGGUUGUAAACCGCUUUUCUCAGGGAAGAAGCUCUGACGGUACCUGAGGAAUCAGCCUCGGCUAACUCCGUGCCAGCAGCCGCGGUAAUACGGAGGAGGCAAGCGUUAUCCGGAAUCAUUGGGCGUAAAGCGUUCGCAGGCGGCGAUUCAAGUCUGCUGUCAAAGCCCGCAGCUCAACUGCGGACAGGCAGUGGAAACUGAAUGGCUAGAGUGCGGCAGGGGUAGAGGGAAUUCCCGGUGUAGCGGUGAAAUGCGUAGAUAUCGGCAGGAACACCCAGGGGGAAGCCAGCAUACUGGACAGGUCCUGACACUCAGGUGCGACAGCGUGGGGAGCGAACCGGAUUAGAUACCCCCGUAGUCC